GAUGAACGCUGGCGGCGUGCCUAAUACAUGCAAGUCGAGCGAACGGACGAGAAGCUUGCUUCUCUGAUGUUAGCGGCGGACGGGUGAGUAACACGUGGAUCACCUACCUAUAAGACUUGGAUAACUUCGUGAAACCGGAGCUAAUACCGUAUAAUAUUUUGAACCGCAUGGUUCAAAAGUGAAAGACGUUCUUGCUGUCACUUAUAGAUGGAUCCGCGCUGCAUUAGCUAGUUGGUAAGGUAACGGCUUACCAAGGCAACGAUGCAUAGCCGACCUGAGAGGGUGAUAGGCCACACUGGAACUGAGACACGGUCCAGACUCCUACGGGAGGCAGCAGUAGGGAAUCUUCCGCAAUGGGCGAAAGCCUGACGGAGCAACGCCGCGUGAGUGAUGAAGGUCUUCGGAUCGUAAAACUCUGUUAUUAGGGAAGAACAUAUGUGUAAGUAACUGUGCACAUCUUGACGGUACCUAAUCAGAAAGCCACGGCUAACUACGUG
rnacentral:rRNA from 1 species